rnacentral:rRNA from 1 species
GUGGGGAAUAUUGCACAAUGGGGGAAACCCUGAUGCAGCAACGCCGCGUGAGUGAAGAAGUAUUUCGGUAUGUAAAGCUCUAUCAGCAGGAAAGAAAAUGACGGUACCUGACUAAGAAGCCCCGGCUAACUACGUGCCAGCAGCCGCGGUAAUACGUAGGGGGCAAGCGUUAUCCGGAUUUACUGGGUGUAAAGGGAGCGUAGACGGUUUUGCAAGUCUGAAGUGAAAGCCCGGGGCUUAACCCCGGGACUGCUUUGGAAACUGUAGGACUAGAGUGCAGGAGAGGUAAGUGGAAUUCCUAGUGUAGCGGUGAAAUGCGUAGAUAUUAGGAGGAACACCAGUGGCGAAGGCGGCUUACUGGACUGUAACUGACGUUGAGGCUCGAAAGCGUGGGGAGCAAACAGGAUUAGAAACCCGUGUAGUCC